rnacentral:rRNA from 1 species
GACUCUCGGCAACGGAUAUCUCGGCUCUCGCAUCGAUGAAGAACGUAGCGAAAUGCGAUACUUGGUGUGAAUUGCAGAAUCCCGUGAACCAUCGAGUCUUUGAACGCAAGUUGCGCCCGAAGCCGUCAGGCCGAGGGCACGCCUGCCUGGGCGUCGUAC